UCCCAUAUGGUCUAGUGGUUAGGAUUCGGCGUUUUCACCGCCGCGGCCCGGGUUCGAUUCCCGGUAUAUGAA
rnacentral:tRNA from 1 species